AUGCUUUCAAGGUCUGAUCCAUUAUUCUUAAUUGUUCUUCCAGCUGUCGAACUUGGCUGUUAGUGGACACAGGAAAUGCACAAGGCCAUUCUCAAAAUCAGUGUGCAGAGGUCGUCUUCAUGGGGACACAACCAGGAGCUGAUUCACCCUGAACCUGUCUUGAUAAUGGGAUUCCACCACCUCGAGGAGAGAGGAGGACAGACUGAAAACAGCCUCUGUGGAUCUCCCGAGUGAGGGCAUGGUCCGCGUCUCUGCGCUGCCUGAAGCGGACGGUGCUCGGUGACUCACGUCCGGAAGAAGCGCCUGCACGCUGACAGCAAGAGGCUCCUUCCACAAGACUCAAAAGGCCCAACUCUCCCUUCUCCUGGCCAAAGAGCUUUUGCUCCAGUCUUUGCGGGGGAGGGCAGGGAAGCUUCGGUAUCUCCUAGUGCUACUACUGGCUUCAUGAUAAAGCCUCGGAUCCGCUAGCAGGAUCAAAAUAAGAACCAUUUUCUGGAGACAAAGGAACUCUGCUUCUCAAAACCAGGCGUUUCUGCCAAGGAAGCAGAUCAUUUCACUGGAGAAUUCAGGGCUGCACACUCUCCCUGGCCCCCCCCCCCAGGGCUACUGCUGGGGAGUCCACGAGGCUUCGGGCCCCAGGAUCUGACCUCUUCAUACUUGCGGUCGGCAUCUUCAGCAAUGUGCUUGGCCUCUUUCAGUUGGAUCUCCUGAAUUUCCAUUUUCUCUUCAUCCUUUUGGGCUCGGCUCU